GUUAAGUGACUAAGCGUACACGGUGGAUGCCUUGGCAGUCAGAGGCGAUGAAGGACGUAGUAACUUGCGAUAAGCGUAGAUGAGGCAGUAACAGCCACUUGAGUCUACGAUUUCCGAAUGGGGAAACCCACUGGCAUAAGCCAGUAUCAUUGAGUGAAUACAUAGCUCAAUGAAGCGAACCGGGAGAACUGAAACAUCUAAGUACCCCGAGGAAAAGAAAUCAACCGAGAUUCCGAAAGUAGCGGCGAGCGAAAUUGGAUUAGCCCUUAAGCUUUACAUGUGUUAGACGAACGGUCUGGAAAGUCCGACGAUACAGGGUGAUAGUCCCGUAGUUGACGAUGCAUGUUCAGUGAAAUCGAGUAGGGCGGGACACGUGUUAUCCUGUCUGAAUAUGGGGGGACCAUCCUCCAAGGCUAAAUACUCCUGACUGACCGAUAGUGAACCAGUACCGUGAGGGAAAGGCGAAAAGAACCCCUGUGAGGGGAGUGAAAUAGAACCUGAAACCGUGUACGUACAAGCAGUAGGAGCACCUUCGUGGUGUGACUGCGUACCUUUUGUAUAAUGGGUCAGCGACUUAUAUUCAGUGGCAAGGUUAACCAUCUAGGGGAGCCGUAGGGAAACCGAGUCUUAACUGGGCGCCAUAGUCUCUGGAUAUAGACCCGAAACCGAGUGAUCUAGCCAUGGGCAGGUUGAAGGUUGAGUAACAUCAACUGGAGGACCGAACCGACUAAUGUUGAAAAAUUAGCGGAUGACUUGUGGCUAGGGGUGAAAGGCCAAUCAAACUCGGAGAUAGCUGGUUCUCCCCGAAAGCUAUUUAGGUAGCGCCUCGGACGAAUACUACUGGGGGUAGAGCACUGUUAAGGCUAGGGGGUCAUCCCGACUUACCAACCCUUUGCAAACUCCGAAUACCAGUAAGUACUAUCCGGGAGACACACGGCGGGUGCUAACGUCCGUCGUGGAGAGGGAAACAACCCAGACCGCCAGCUAAGGUCCCAAAUUACAGCUAAGUGGGAAACGAUGUGGGAAGGCUUAGACAGCUAGGAUGUUGGCUUAGAAGCAGCCAUCAUUUAAAGAAAGCGUAAUAGCUCACUAGUCGAGUCGGCCUGCGCGGAAGAUGUAACGGGGCUAAGUUGUAAACCGAAGCUGCGGCAAUGUUCUAUGAACAUUGGGUAGGGGAGCGUU
rnacentral:rRNA from 1 species